CCAGGACAGGAUAAAUUGUUUCAGGAGCAGCAACACAGACGGCUUAUGAAGAGCAAAAGUGGUGAAUACGCAACAGCUGGGCAGGGGAACGCAGAUCCAAAGCGGUCCAAUGGCAUGUAGAAAGAAUGGAGGGCCACAGCAGCGUCUCGCCAGAAAACCUCCACAUCCAAGAACA